AUGAUUUGAAUCACAUUGCAAAAAUUAUGAGGACAUCAUAAGCACUAAGCAUAGUGUUUAACUGGCAUACAGAUGCAUACUUUUUAAAACAUUGUUUUUCACUCCAAAUUUUAUGUCUGAUUUACAUUGUCAAUAAAAGAUAUGAUUCCCUUGCUAAGUUUAAAGAGUGUAACAACUUUUGCUUAUGUAAGUGUUUGAUGUUAAUUCAAGCUUGUUUAUACUGCUAGGACUCUGGAUCCAGAUUCAACUUUAACCCAGAUAAUGCAAUCAGUUUACUAGGCUGACCAUGGCCUUCUCGCUUACUGGGUGCAUCAAAACGAAUGAAGCCAAGGGAUGUGAAAAACAAGACUGAGCACUGCUGUUGGAUCAAACAUAACACUAGGACUUCCUGAGAGGUCUUCCUGCAAACCAGGUUUUUACUGCCCAGAGGGAGGUAAGGGUCCAGUUCCAUGUCCUAGAGGAACAUUUGGACCAAGUUUUUGGGCCCAGUCUGUAAAUGACUGCAUCAGCUGCCCACCACAUCACUAUGGACCUAGAGAAGGCUUGAGCAAUUGCCUGCCCUGUGGGCCCUGGUCACAGCAGCCUCUGCUUGGACAGGACAGCUGUACAUGUCUGCGAGAGGGUCAAGUCUUCCAGGCCAGUGAUGGACAGUGUCCAUGUACUUUGGGAUACACACAGAAAGGAGAAGCCUGUGUGUUGAAGGUCUAUGAGAUCUGCAAGGAUGGAAGAGCACGAAACCAGCAUGGAGAAUGUCUGGACCACAAGCAAUGGAAGCAGCAUUGCUCCCAGCAGGUGUGUCCAUCUCCUGAGCUGUAUGAGGGCUAUGAUGGUUCCCUGGGCCUGUGUGCUUGCAGAGGGCUGUCCAGGCCUGAGCCAGACAGGGUUGAGUGUGUUGGCUGGUGCCGGAGCAACCUGAGUCCAAUUCUGCAGCUGGUUUGCACUGGAAGCCUUUACCUGCUCUACACUGAGUCUAAUCAACAGGUGUGCAUGUCUAGAAGCAUGCUGGAGACCGUCCUCAAACACUGGGACUCCCGUGGGAGCUGAGAAUGCAAUGUGCAGCUCAACUUCGCCAGGCCUGUGUACACAGUUAAAACAGGGGGUGAGUAGCCAGAGACGAGGGCAGGAAGUAGAGAGGGUUUCAUGACCACGGUUUAUCAGCAGCCUGCUCUCUGUUUGCCAUUGUGCAGAGGCGGGCUUCUUUGGUCUGCUUAAUGCCGUCCCUGUGGAGGUCAGGAGGUUGAUUCUGGCCCACAGCCAGCAAACUAACAACUACUUUGAGCCCCUAGACAAAGACAGAGGUAUGUAGUACACCAAUAUGUCUUACAUAUAUAUACACACAACCAGUGUAUUAGACAUGUUUAUGAGAUAUGUUUUGUUAGGAAACAUCAAAGACAAAGAGGAAGACUGGGACUCUCAUUGGUCCGGUAAAUCAUCAGCGUUUGGUACAUCCGACAUGAGGCCUAGAGGAGUCUUGAACCCAACAGCAUGUCUACAUCCGGGAGACAUUCUUCUUUUUACCGUGACCCAACAGCACUAUCCUCAGUAUGAUGUGUGAGUACAUGCUGACAUGUGAUUCAUCUGCAGCCCAUCCAUUUUCACUGUCCCAGACUGUCACAGAGGGAAUCCUGCUUUUUUCACAGAGACAGCUUGUAUAACACUAAUGAUGCAUUUGACUGGGGACCCUUCAGAUCACUGGCACAGGACCAAGAACUGGCACGAUCUACCCACUCCCUUUUUUCCAUAAGUCUCCAUGAGCCUGGGGUGUACGCCUUCAAACUCAGUAGCCACAAUUAUAGGCACAUGGUAUUAUGAUCCAUUUUCAUGUUAUGGCGGAUAACUGUUAAAUGUUAUUAAAAUUCUGUACUACUAAAUACUAAAUAAAUAAAAUACUAAAAACUCA
ensembl:lncRNA